UACAGAGGGUGCAAGCGUUAAUCGGAAUUACUGGGCGUAAAGCGUGUGUAGUCGGCUUUUCAAGUCGGGUGUGAAAGCCCCGGGCUCAACCUGGGAAUUGCAUUCGAUACUGGAUCGCUAGAGUUCGGCAGAGGGAAGUGGAAUUUCUGGUGUAGCGGUGAAAUGCGUAGAUAUCAGAAGGAACAUCAGUGGCGAAAGCGACUUCCUGGACCAGAACUGACGAUCAGGCACGAAAGCGUGGGGAGCAAACAGG
rnacentral:rRNA from 1 species